rnacentral:rRNA from 1 species
GGCAGCAGUGGGGAAUAUUGGACAAUGGGCGAAAGCCUGAUCCAGCAAUACCGCGUGUGUGAAGAAGGCCUGAGGGUUGUAAAGCACUUUCAAUUGGGAGGAAAAAAGUAAGGCCAAUACCCUGCUCUUGACAUUACCUUUAGAAGAAGCACCGGCUAACUCCGUGCCAGCAGCCGCGGUAAUA